rnacentral:rRNA from 1 species
UACGUAGGUGGCGAGCGUUGUCCGGAUUUACUGGGCGUAAAGAGCGCGCAGGCGGUCGUACAAGUCGCGUGUGAAAGCCCCUGGCUCAACUGGGGAGGGUCACGCGAUACUGUUCGACUCGAAGGCAGGAGAGGGAAUGGAAUUCCCGGUGUAGGUGGUGAAAUGCGUAGAUAUCGGGAGGACACCAGUGGCGAAGGCGACUUCCUGGCCUGUUCUUGACG